UACGGAGGGUGCAAGCGUUGUCCGGAAUCACUGGGCGUAAAGGGCGCGUAGGCGGCUCAUGAAGGCUGUGGUGAAAGCCCUGGGCUCAACCCGGGAAUUGCGCUUGAGACUGGUGUGCUAGAGUACGGGAGAGGAUAGUGGAAUUCCCAGUGUAGAGGUGAAAUUCGUAGAUAUUGGGAAGAACACCGGUGGCGAAGGCGGCCAUCUGGACCGUAACUGACGCUGAGGCGCGAAAGCGUGGGGAGCAAACAGG
rnacentral:rRNA from 1 species